rnacentral:rRNA from 1 species
GACGAACGCUGGCGGCGUGCUUAACACAUGCAAGUCGAACGGAAAGGCCCUGCUUUUGUGGGGUGCUCGAGUGGCGAACGGGUGAGUAACACGUGAGUAACCUGCCCUUGACUUUGGGAUAACUUCAGGAAACUGGGGCUAAUACCGGAUAGGAGCUCCUGCUGCAUGGUGGGGGUUGGAAAGUUUCGGCGGUUGGGGAUGGACUCGCGGCUUAUCAGCUUGUUGGUGGGGUAGUGGCUUACCAAGGCUUUGACGGGUAGCCGGCCUGAGAGGGUGACCGGCCACAUUGGGACUGCGAUACGGCCCAGACUCCUACGGGAGGGAGCAGUGGGGAAUAUUGCACAAUGGGCGGAAGCCUGAUGCAGCAACGCCGCGUGCGGGAUGACGGCCUUCGGGUUGUAAACCGCUUUCGCCUGUGACGAAGCGUGAGUGACGGUAAUGGGUAAAGAAGCACCGGCUAACUACGUG